UGAACAAUGAAAGAAGCAUUACAAGGAACUUGGCUUGGCUUUGCCAAAGAGUUCCAGGGUGAGGUGGGGACAUGCGAGUGGGGCAUGUAGGAAGAUUAAAGAGGGCUAGGCAGAGCAUGGAAUUAAAAAGGUACUUGAUGCGAGAUGAGAGAUGAGAGCUAAAUAUGACUCUAAGGUGUUUGUCAAAUUGUCGUCAAAUUGUCACAGUCAGUCAAUUGUGAAGCAUCCGUGCAGCAUCUUCUCAUCUCAGGCAUGAAAAAGAUUUACUUUUACAUGUCUUGGCCUAACUUUUUCUUUGGGUUUUUAGCUAACUCAGCUGGCUAGAACCUAUGCAUACAGUACACGUGUGUUCGUGUGCACUGGACAAGAGUUGAUGAGUUUGAUGACCAAGUGAGGAGGAGGAAGACAUUGGAGGCAGGGGCAGAUGCAGAGGCUAGCUCUCAGUCUAAAUAUCUCUGCUGAAAUGCCAAUCAUUCAUCUGUUUCUCUUUCUGAGGAGAGAAGGAGGGGCUCAGAAGAGAGAGAUAAGUGCAGGCACUCUGUCACCGCCACUUGUUUCAGCAGCUUUACAAAAUUCCGCAUCCAUGUAAACCAGUGAGAGAGGUCACCACUCUACUUGUGCCAGGCUGCCGACCAUGUUCAACAAUCACAUAAAGUACGGUGACAUCAAAACAGUGAAGGAAUAUUAUUAACCUCACAAUUACAGCGCAUCAAUUUAUUUGAAGAAAGUGGAUAAUACAACCUCAGCAGUGUCUCUCCUUUUAUGAUAAUCUCUAGUAAUGAGUGUAAGUGUUAGAUUAUGAAGUAAUUAUUUUUCCUUUCCUACAAGCACGUUAAUAAUAUCAAGUUCUCAACUUGCAAAGAUAUGCACACUCUAAU
rnacentral:lncRNA from 1 species